rnacentral:lncRNA from 1 species
UUCAUUGAUUCAUUCAUCCAUUCAGCUUUGAAAUCGGAGACAAGGAAAACAACUUCAUAGAAGUGCCGCGGAUCAAUAUAGAGAUGCGAACCAAUAUCCUUUUCCUGGUGGACUCUGAAGUACUCGUCUUUUGCACAAGGCCUCGUGUCAAAUAACAUCAAACCACAUCCAUGUCCUCCUACCUCGCCCAUUUGCUGAGAUCAUCU